UGGGGAAUCUUCCACAAUGGGCGCAGCCUGAUGGAGCAACACCGCGUGAGUGAAGAAGGGUUUCGGCUCGUAAAGCUCUGUUGUUAAAGAAGAACACGUAUGAGAGUAACUGUUCAUACGUUGACGGUAUUUAACCAGAAAGUCACGGCUAACUACGUGCCGG
rnacentral:rRNA from 1 species